rnacentral:rRNA from 1 species
UACAGAGGUCUCAAGCGUUGUUCGGAUUCAUUGGGCGUAAAGGGUGCGUAGGUGGCGCGAUAAGUCGGGUGUGAAAUCUCGGAGCUUAACUCCGAAAUUGCAUUCGAUACUGCCGUGCUCGAGGACUGGAGAGGAGACUGGAAUUCAUGGUGUAGCAGUGAAAUGCGUAGAGAUCCGGAAGAACACCGGUGGCGAAGGCGGUCUGCUGGGCAGUUGCUGACACUGAGGCGCGACAGCGUGGGGAGCAAACAGG